GGUUAAGACAGGGUUGUGUGAUGUCUCCGUGGCUGUUUAAUUUAUAUAUGGACGGUGUGAAGAGGAAUCUGAAAAGGAAGUGAGUGAAGGUGAUGA